rnacentral:lncRNA from 1 species
AAGUAUGGUCCAGCUGCUCAGAUGCCUUUAGUAGAUUUAACACAGCGAGGCAAUAGUAGUAUGAAGUCUCUUUCAGCCAGGAUACUUGCUCACUUGAAUGUACUUCAUGACCAAUCUUCCUAUUUCUAAAGAAUUCAACGCCUUUUGACUUUCUUGAAUCAUAUCUGAGGAGGAAGGACUGGCCACAUUAUUCACCUUGACGAUUUAUUUUGCAAGAACCGCAAUACUGGUGUGCAUGCUCAGGCUUGAACCAUAAUAUUUCAGAAUGGGCAUACCUUUCUUCUCAAUAAUAGGUGCAUAUUGACGGAUUCACCUUGAAAGCUAAGCAAGAACUAUCAACCAACUCCAUUGUUGUGG